rnacentral:rRNA from 1 species
UACGUAGGGGGCAAGCGUUGUCCGGAAUCAUUGGGCGUAAAGCGCGUGUAGGCGGCUCGGUAAGUCUGCUGUGAAAGUCCAGGGCUCAACCCUGGGAUGCCGGUGGAUACUGUCGAGCUCGAGUCCGGAAGAGGCGAGUGGAAUUCCCGGUGUAGCGGUGAAAUGCGCAGAUAUCGGGAAGAACACCCGUGGCGAAGGCGGCUCUCUGGGACGGUACUGACGCUGAGACGCGAAAGCGUGGGGAGCGAACAGG